GAAAAGGUUUUACUAAAAACCAACUAUUAUUUACUGGCACAGUAAC
rfam:Trichobilharzia regenti genome assembly, scaffold: TRE_scaffold0022518